rnacentral:rRNA from 1 species
UACGGGGGGGGCAAGCGUUGUUCGGAAUUACUGGGCGUAAAGGGCUCGUAGGCGGCCAACUAAGUCGGAUGUGAAAUCCCCAGGCUCAACCUGGGAACUGCAUCCGAUACUGGAUGGCUUGAAUUCGGGAGAGGGAUGCAGAAUUCCAGGUGUAGCGGUGAAAUGCGUAGAUAUCGUAAGGAAGACCAGUGGCGAAGGCGGGUCUCUGGACAGUUCCUGACGCUGAGGCACGAAGGUCAGGGGAGCAAACGGG